UACGUAGGUGGCAAGCGUUGUCCGGAAUCACUGGGCGUAAAGCGCGUGUAGGCGGAUCGCUAAGUCUGUGGUGAAAGCGCCUGGCUUAACCGGGCGAGGUCCAUGGAAACUAGCGGUCUGGAGGCCGGUAGAGGGGGGUGGAAUUCCGGGUGUAGUGGUGAAAUGCGUAGAGAUCCGGAGGAACACCAGUGGCGAAGGCGGCCCCCUGGGCCGCGCCUGACGCUGAGACGCGAAAGCGCGGGGAGCGAACGGG
rnacentral:rRNA from 1 species